UCACGACAGUGACCUACCGUCGCCCCCCCUAAAAGUUUCCUUUCAUGCUAUUUUGCCAAAAAUUUAUCAAAGGGCUAUUUUCACUUUCACAUCUACAAAUCCAUUCAGUAAGGUUUGCUUCCAAAUUUUAUAUUUAGAAUACCUCGCGUUGUGAAUCGAUUCAGAGUUAGGUUCGCUUCCAAUUUUCAGAUACAUAGCGGCAUAAAAUCUACAAGGGUAAAAAAGUUCCUCCUUUGGAUUUUUAGGGUUAGAACGAAACGCGGCUUAAAGGAAAACUCAAAGGAACUUGGAACCAACUCUCUUAAUCGGAAGACACAAACCAACUUGGAACCAGUGUUCUCAACAGGAAAACACAAACGAAAAUCUUCAAGGAUACUCAAGAGGUUUGGCAAAUCCAACACUGAUAAUCUAGACCUUUUAUAUUGAGGAGAAUAUUUUCAAUGAGGUUGUCGCUUUAGUUGAUGCAAAACAUGCUGAACUUCAUCUUGACGAGGUUAUAAGCCAAAAGGCGCGAGCAAGGUUCUUGGUAAAUACUAAAGUGUACUUCCCCUCAUCUGCAUUUGUGCAUUCACGAAAUCCUCACACCUCACAUGGGAGCUACAUCAUCAGUGACUUCAUAUACAUGUUCAUACUAGGCAUCUCUCGUGUGGCAUAUACAUCUCUGACCGUACCUUCGAGAGGAGACAACAUAGGACUUCUAGACAAGUUGCUAGCCAAACUGAAUAUCGGGGCAUUUGAACUUAAACUAAGUUCAUGUUAAAAUUUCCUUAAUAAUUAACAAAUAUGCUUUGUUGAUGAAUCUAGUAGCAAGGAGUUUAGAGGAAUUGCAGUCAGAUAGAAUUUUAAGUACUUAUUGGUGUUUUAAUCUUCUUAGAACUACACUUGUUGCAUCGACAGUUUGUUUGGCUGCGGAGCCAAUGCAUCUCUUUUUUCAUCUUUUAUUACCAA